GCUCCUGAUCCAUAGCUCAGUCAGUAGAGCAUGAGGCCUUUAAUCUCAGGGUCGUGGGUUCACGUCCCACCUCGGGCA